UAGUAACACUCAAGCAAAAUGCCUUUUAGUUUGAGCCCCCGAAACUUAGCGAGCUACUCCAAGACAGCCUAUCUUAGGGCAAACCCGUCUCUGUUGCAAAAGAGUGGGAAGAUCUUUGAGUAGAGGUGAUAAACCUACCGAGCUUAGUUAUAGCUGGUUGCCUACGAAAUGAAUAGAAGUUCAGCCUUUACCCUUCUUUCCUCCCUCCUGCACAUACUUACCCGAGACACAAAGAAGGCUUAAGAGUUAUUCGAAGGGGGAACAGCCCCCUCGAAAAAAGACACAACUUUAUUUAGCAGGUUAAAGAUUAAAAUAUCUUAGGCAGACUACCUUGGUGG
rnacentral:rRNA from 1 species